rnacentral:ncRNA from 3 species
ACCCCCCAAGGCUAAAUACUACUUAGUGACCGAUAGCGCAUAGUACUGUGAAGGAAAGGUGAAAAGGACCCCGGGAGGGGAGUGAAAAAGAACCUGAAACCCUGUGUUUACAAGCUGUGGAACCACGUUUAAGGUGGAACCGCGUACUUUUUGUAGAACGGUCCGGCGAGUUACCGUUACUGGCAAGGUUAAGCACUUAAGGUGUGGAGCCGAAGGGAAACCAAGUCUUAAUAGGGCGAAUAAGUCAGUAAAGGUAGACCCGAAACCGGGUGAUCUACCCAUGUCCAGGUUGAAGUUUCCGUAAAAGGAAAUGGAGGACCGAACGCACAUCCGUUGAAAAGGGUGGCGAUGAGGUGUGGGUAGGGGAGAAAUUCCAAUCGAACCCGGAGAUAGCUGGUUCUCCUCGAAAUAGCUUUAGGGCUAGCCUCGUAUUAGUCUGCCGGAGGUAGAGCACUGAAUUUCCUAGGGGCGUCAAAGCUUACCAAAGAAUAUCAAACUCCGAAUGCCGGCCAGAUGAUGUACGGGAGUCAGACUGCACGAGAUAAGUUGGGUAGUCAAAAGGGAAAGAGCCCAGACCACCAGCUAAGGUCCAAAGUGCGUGUUAAGUGGAAAAGG